rnacentral:lncRNA from 1 species
GAAGAGUUUUAUUUCCAAGUUUCCUUUUGGAAAACAGUGGCCACGGAAGAAAAUAAGAAGAUGGAAAAUUAAGUCAAUCAUACUUUAAUUUGCUUUUUUUGGAAUAAAUAAUCAUUUUGGGGAUAUUUUUUGGAUGGAAUGUGGAUGUUUUGUUUGGUUUUUGUGGAAUAAAAGUUGAGUUUUCCGAUACUGGGCAGCUACCUGCUUGCCGUACCUUCCUGUUGGUGUGGAGUAC